rnacentral:rRNA from 1 species
UGGGAAUCUUGGACAAUGGGGGAAACCCUGAUCCAGCCAUGCCGCGUGAGUGAAGAAGGCCCUCGGGUUGUAAAGCUCUUUUGUUGGGAAAGAAAUCCUGUUGGUUAAUACCUGGCAGGGAUGACGGUACCCAAAGAAUAAGCACCGGCUAACUUCGUGCCAGCAGCCGCGGUAAUACGAAGGGUGCAAGCGUUACUCGGAAUUACUGGGCGUAAAGCGUGCGUAGGUGGUUGUUUAAGUCUGUCGUGAAAGCCCUGGGCUCAACCUGGGAAUUGCGAUGGAUACUGGGCGACUAGAAUGUGGUAGAGGGUGGCGGAAUUCCCGGUGUAGCAGUGAAAUGCGUAGAGAUCGGGAGGAACAUCCGUGGCGAAGGCGGCCACCUGGACCAACAUUGACACUGAGGCACGAAAGCGUGGGGAGCAAAC